GAUGAACGCUGGCGGCGUGCUUAACACAUGCAAGUCGAGCGAGAAAAGUUCUUCGGAGCUUUUCUAGCGGCGGACGGGUGAGUAACACGUGGGCAACCUGCCUCAUAGAGGGGAAUAGCCUUCCGAAAGGAAGAUUAAUACCGCAUAACAUUGUUGAAAGGCAUCUUUUAACAAUCAAAGGAGCAAUCCGCUAUGAGAUGGGCCCGCGGCGCAUUAGCUAGUUGGUGAGGCAACGGCUCACCAAGGCGACGAUGCGUAGCCGACCUGAGAGGGUGAUCGGCCACAUUGGAACUGAGACCCGGUCCAGCCUCCUAAGGGAGGCAGCAGUGGGGAAUAUUGCACAAUGGGGGAAACCCUGAUGCAGCAACGCCGCGUGAGUGAUGAAGGUCUUCGGAUUGUAAAGCUCUGUCUUUAGGGACGAUAAUGACGGUACCUAAGGAGGAAGCCACGGCUAACUACGUGCCAGCCGCCGCCGUAAGAC
rnacentral:rRNA from 1 species